rnacentral:rRNA from 1 species
UACGUAGGGUGCGAGCGUUAAUCGGAAUUACUGGGCGUAAAGUGUGCGCAGGCGGCUUAUCAAGUCAGGCGUGAAAUUCCCGGGCUCAACCUGGGGGCUGCGCUUGAUACUGAUUGGCUUGAAUGCGGGAGAGGAUAGUGGAAUUCCCAGUGUAGAGGUGAAAUUCGUAGAUAUUGGGAAGAACACCGGUGGCGAAGGCGGCUAUCUGGCCCGUAAUUGACGCUGAGGCGCGAAAGCGUGGGGAGCAAACAGG